rnacentral:rRNA from 1 species
UUAGCUUGGUGAUAAUAGAGAGAGGGAAACACCUGAAACCAUUCCGAACUCAGAAGUUAAGCCUCUGAUCGCUGAUGGUACUAUACACAAGAGUAUGGGAGAGUAGGUCGUUGCCAAGCAU